UGUGGGAGCUGGCUUGCCAGCGAUGACGACGGCACAUCCAGCAUCAAUAUUGGCUGAGCCACCGCAAUCGCUGGCAAGCCAGCUCCCACA
rnacentral:misc_RNA from 1 species